rnacentral:rRNA from 1 species
AAAUUAUGUGAAUUGCAGAACACAUUGAACAUCGACACCUUGAACGCACAUGGCGGCCUCGGGUCCAUCCCGGGGCCACGCCCGUCUGAGGGUCG